UAUGAGGUACCUAUACAGGAUACAUAAAGCAGGGAGCCCAAAUGUCCUUGCUGAAAAGAACUUUCUAUAGUUAGUAGAUCAUGCUUUCAUUUUAGACCCACAUUAGUCUACACUAGACUUUUCGAGCUUUAUCAUUACAUUAGUUAAAAUGAUUUGGGGUUCUGUGAACAAAUGCAUUUGCUAAACACUAAGUAUGUACCUAAUACGUAUAGACAAAUAAAGGUUGGUUGAACUUCACGAAUGAUGCUUAAAAAAAAAGAAAAGAAUUGUGGUGGUGGCAUUCAUUCCCUCAGCAGCAGUUUCCCCUGCUUGGAUGAAGAAUUUGUAGGCACCAUCCUGAGUGGACCGGGCAGACACAUCCCCUAGGACAAACAAUUUCCUUCAAGUGUCCUGUUUGCUUACUGUGGGGGCCAAACACUGGGUUCCCUCUGAUUUCCUGAUGUCACUGAGAGAACUAAAGAUCAUGAAGUCAGACAGUAUACAACAUGACCUGAGCCUCAUGGUGCCCUCUUUUCUGUACCUGCAGGUGCCGCCCAGACUGAGCCAAAGAGAAUGGAGCCUGGAGACUGUAUAUGAGGUCAGCUCAGAGGAAGAAGACCCUCCAGGUAGGGAACUACACGCAGGUAGGAACCAAGGGGAGAGGGUUCCUGGGAACAGGCAGGUUACAGCAGCUACUUUGUAGAUCGAAAGUGGGAGGUAGGAAAUCAAAAAGAUGAAGUAUAUGUAUUAGAGGAUUUCUUUCUGUUUUUCAGCCAUGGAGAGAUUUUAUUUUUUAGAGAGAGUGAAGGAUUGGCGGGGAGGGGCCAUGGGAGAGGGAGAUGGCGACUCCAAGCUGAGCCAGGAACCUAAUGCAGGCCUGCUCCCAGGGAUCAGAAACCCAGCUGAAUGCAGACAUUGAAAUGACUGAGCCAUCCAGAUUCAGUCUCUGUUUUGUUCUUUUCCUGUAACGUUAGGGUGUUUUUUAUUUUUUUUUAAUUUAUUUAUUUAUUUUCAGAAAAACAGUAUUCAUUAUUUUUUCACCACACCCAGUGCUCCAUGCAAUCUGUGCCCUGUAUAAUACCCACCACCUGUUGCCCCAACCUCCCACCCCCCCGCCACUUCAAACCCCUCUGAUUGUUUUUCAGAGUCCAUAGUCUCUCAUGAUUCACCUCCCCUUCCAAUUUACCCCAAAUCCCUUCUUUUGAAAUAGAAGUAGUCUGCCUCUGGGCUUUAAAGGUGCUCUGUUUGUAAUCCUCUUUUCUUAUUUGAUAUUUAUGAUUCUCUCCAAAAGUGCAGUGAGGCUGCAUUCCUCACUGCCAAACAUAAGAGCCUUUGGAGAGCCUCCUAGGCUCGUUGGAAUUCCAGACCUGUGUGAAGACUGCUGAGCUGGUCGCACACCCUGGUGCUCGAGGGUCCCACUGAGCUGUUUCCUGGACGACCCGGCCCAAGACAGGGGCUCUAGAAGUGGGACCAUUGUCUCUGCUCCUGUCUGAUCCCGCUGCUCCAGCCACACGGAUGUGCCAUCCAUCCCUGGACCCCAUGGCAAAUCCUUCUGGGAAAUUCAGAUUUCAACAAAUGAAAGGAAUCACCAAGACUGGAAAUUCCAACUCCUGAUGGUCAUAGUGCUGGUCCACUGUGUUCUGGCCAGAGUCUUACAAGCAUCUAUACAGAUGUUCGGUCAUCACAUGCAUGGUCAAGAAGAUCUUCCAAUACAGUUGCCUGUGAAGAUGACUAGACCAUGUUCAGCAUUGAAGUGUGGGAUCUCUGGUCUUCUCUGACUGGGCCAACCUCUCCCAAGACCCAAAAUGGAGACAGACACGUGAAAGACAUAAACGGACAGUGCCAUGACCGUACAUAACAAUAAAUCUCUGGGGGAGCCUUGGUGGCUCAGUGGGUUAAGCCUCUGCCUUCAGCUCAGGUUAUGAUCUCAGUGUGCUGGGAUUGAGCCCCACAUCGGGAUCUCUGCUCAGUGGGGAGCCUGCUUCCCUAUCUCUCUGCCUGCCUC